rnacentral:rRNA from 1 species
AACGAACGCUGGCGGCAGGCUUAACACAUGCAAGUCGAACGAGAAGCUUCUUCGGAAGUGGAAAGUGGCAGACGGGUGAGUAACGCGUGGGAAUUUGCCCAGAGGUUUGGAACAACCAUUGGAAACGAUGGCUAAUACCAGAUAAGCCCUUCGGGGGAAAGAUUUAUCGCCUUUGGAUAAGCCCGCGUAAGAUUAGCUAGUUGGUGAGGUAACGGCUCACCAAGGCGACGAUCUUUAGCUGGUCUGAGAGGAUGAUCAGCCACAUUGGGACUGAGACACGGCCCAGACUCCUACGGGAGGCAGCAGUGGGGAAUAUUGCGCAAUGGGGGAAACCCUGACGCAGCCAUGCCGCGUGAGUGACGAAGGCCUUAGGGUUGUAAAGCUCUUUCGCUAGGGAAGAUAAUGACGGUACCUAGUAAAGAAGCCCCGGCUAACUCCGUGCCAGCAGCCGCGGUAAUACGGAGGGGGCUAGCGUUGUUCGGAAUCACUGGGCGUAAAGCGCGCGUAGGCGGAUUGAUUAGUUGGGGGUGAAAUCCCGGGGCUCAACCUCGGAACUGCCUCCAAUACUGUCAGUCUUGAGUUCGUGAGAGGUAAGUGGAAUUCCGAGUGUAGAGGUGAAAUUCGUAGAUAUUCGGAAGAACACCAGUGGCGAAGGCGACUUACUGGCACGAUACUGACGCUGA